AAAGCAGGAACACUGACCAAGUUCACUGGACCUUACAGAGUUAAGUGUUACCAGUUACCAUGCACCCAGGUACAUUCUCUCCCACCAUGCACCACAGUUAGAUACCACCAGCAAGCACCAGAAGCCAUGGCCAGGGCAUUCUCUGCUAAAACAUACCAUUAACCAAAAGAAGAACACAAUGCAGCUACAUUCAUUUCAUUUGUAUUCUUUGUUAUUGGUUUAAUUAAUAGUUUUGUAAGGAGAGAGAAAACAGCAAAAGCUGGAGUCUACACCAAAAGCAGACUUCUGUAGAUCCAGUCACUGGAGGGUUCAAAA
rnacentral:lncRNA from 10 species